UACAGAGGUGGCAAGCGUCGUUCGGAAUUACUGGGCGUAAAGGGCGCGUAGGCGGCCUCGCAAGUCCCGUGUGAAAUCCCUCGGCUCAACUGAGGAAUGGCACGGGAAACUGCGGGGCUUGAGUUCGGGAGAGGGAAGCGGAAUUCCGGGUGUAGCGGUGAAAUGCGCAGAUAUCGGGAGGAACACCGGUGGCGAAGGCGGUUCUCUGGGCCUUACCUGACGCUGAGGAGCGAAAGCGUGGGGAGCGAACAGG
rnacentral:rRNA from 1 species